rnacentral:rRNA from 1 species
GACGAACGCUGGCGGCGUGCCUAAUACAUGCAAGUCGAGCGAAUGUGCCUUGAGGUUCGGUGUGUUUGGUUACCGUGAAACGAGUUACUGGCACGUGGAUGACGGGCGUGUAACACGUGGGUAACUUGGCCAAGCGGUCGGGAAUACAGGUGGAUAUUGUGAACCGUAUGGGUUAACAGUGAAAGACGCUCUUCCUGUGUCUUAUAGAUGGUUCUGCGCUGCAUUAGCUAGUUGGUAAGGUAACGGCCUACCAAGGCAACGAUGCAUAGCCGACCUGAGAGGCUGAUCGGCCACACUGGGACUGAGACACGGUCCAGACUCCUACGGGAGGCAGCAGUAGGGAAUCUUCCACAAUGGGCGCAAGUCUGAUGGAGCAACGCCGCGUGAGUGAUGAAGGUCUUCGGCUCGUAAAACUCUGUUGUUAGGGAAGAACAACAGUGUUAGUAACUGUGCUUAGCUUGACGGUAACUAAUCAGAAAGCCACGGCUAACUACGUG